ACGACUCUCGGCAACGGAUAUCUCGGCUCUCGCAUCGAUGAAGAACGUAGCGAAAUGCGAUACUUGGUGUGAAUUGCAGAAUCCCGUGAACCAUCGAGUUUUUGAACGCAAGUUGCGCCCGAAGCCUUUGGCUAAGGGCACGUCUGCCUGGGCGUCA
rnacentral:rRNA from 1 species